UCUACACACACAACCGCUCCCAUGUUUUCCUCAAUACAACCGCUCCACUUACUUCAGUUUUUUUUUUUUUUUUUUUUAAUCAAGGACAGUUUCAUUAAAACCAGCCAAACGACAUAGGUUUUGCAUCAGCUGAAGAUUUUGCUUCCUUGGAAAUCUAGCGAGAAAUCGUCCGUACGUUUUGGUUUGUAAGUUCUUCUUUAUCGUUUCAGUUUAAAUUAUUUCAUUUACUUUCUCAAUUUUGCUUCCAUGAAUCCAACGCCAAGUAUUCAUGGUUGAUUUGCUAUUCUUGAACAUUCUAGACUAUGUCAAAAUUCAAGUCAUUGAUUAUUUUUUCUAAGAAUAUUAUGCAGUCUUUCCCAAUUUUCGAACCUCAAUCCCAAAACCAGCCCACAGUAACGACAACAAUGGCGUUCACAUCGUUAUUCUCUACGCCGCAGCCACAACUGUCAACAGCAGCAGCAGCAAUCGCCGUUUCAAACUCAACAGCCCUUGCAGCCCUUUCAGCAAAGCAGCUCCUUCUUCUCCCAACAACCACCGCAGUAGCAGAAGACGCUGCUGUUUCAACAGCCGCGAUUUCAGCAGCAGCAGCAGCAACAUCAAUUGUCUUUGUUUACUAAUGACAAGACUCCGGCGAGUUAUGGUACCAAGUGGGCGGAUCUCCAUCCGGAUCACCAGAAAAUUCUUCUGCAGAUUGAGGAACGGAUACUGGCGUAUAGGGAUGAAAGUCAGCGUUCUGGAGUGAUGAAGUGAAGUUUCUGGUUGCGGCGGAGGAAGGUUACUCUGGUUCUUGGCAGUGGGAAGGACUUGAGGAGUUUUAGAGAGAUGAGUUACUGAAGAUUGAUGGCGAGGGGUAGUGUGUUAUGAGUAUUUUGAAAAGGUGGGAGUCUCUCCUCCGUCAAUGGAGGAGUUAUUUGUUGUUGGUGAUCUUAUGCGCAACCAGAUUAUGAGAACAACCAGUAAGAUGCUUGCUUGAUCUGUAUGGAAUGGAAUGGGGUUAUCUGCGCAUGUAAUUUUAUUCAGAGUUUCAUAAGUGGGGUUCAGUACCUAAUAUAUCCUCAAAUUUCUAAUACAAUCGUUCAGACUAAUUAAUUAUUUAAUUGCUUUACCCUUGACCGCUAAUUGAUUUUGAGGUUCAAUGGAAGUAGAAUUCACAAGGAAUUGCUGAAUGAUUUUUAAAAGUAACCAUUGCAUGCUUAUCUAUGGGCGCCAAAUUUUCUGUCAAAACCUAGGAUGCGGAGGAAGCUGAAGAUUAGCACCUAGGAGGAGGUUCAUUGAUUGAAGUUAUAAAAGAGCCAAACAAAGAGUACGAUGAAAAAGCAGGGCAAACAUCCGCAAUUCGGUUUAAGAAUGGUAUUUGUUUAUCAUAAGUGGUGAAUUUCUAAACAUAUAUGUGUGGAUUAACAUCCUCAGAAGUCAACAAGCCCAAUGGCAUUUUGGAAAUCUGUAGAAUUAGCCAACAUUUCAUAUUCGUAAGGUCAAUUAGUGGGUUUCGGAGUGAGUAUGGACUUCCAACUCUAAUGUUUUUGUUUGACUUAUUCAUCUCACUAAACAAAACAAAAAUCAAUGUGGUGAAUAUUGCAGUGUACUGAUAUUUGUCUUAUAAAAUCUAAUUAGUUUUUCUU